rnacentral:rRNA from 1 species
ACGGGUGCGUAACGCGUAUGCAACCUGCCCCCAUCAGGGGAAUAGCCCGCCGAAAGGCGGAUUAAUGCCCCCAGUAGGCCCAGGGCGCCGCAUGGCGCUAGUGGGUAAAGCUCCGGCGGAUGGGGAUGGGCAUGCGUGCCAUUAGCUAGUUGGGCGGUAACGGCGCACCAAGGCGACGAUGGCUAGGGGGUCUGAGAGGAUGGUCCCCCACACUGGUACUGAGACACGGACCAGACUCCUACGGGAGGCAGCAGUGAGGAAUAUUGGUCAAUGGGCGGAAGCCUGAACCAGCCAAUGCCGCGUGCAGGAUGACGGCCCUACGGGUUGUAAACUGCUUUUCCCCGGGAAGAAUAAGCCCCUCGUGAGGGGUGAUGCCGGUACCGGGGGAAUAAGGAUCGGCUAACUCCGUGCCAGCAGCUGC